rnacentral:rRNA from 1 species
GACGAACGCUGGCGGCGUGCUUAACACAUGCAAGUCGAACGGAAAGGUCCUGCUUUUGUGGGGUGCUCGAGUGGCGAACGGGUGAGUAACACGUGAGUAACCUGCCCUUGACUUUGGGAUAACUUCAGGAAACUGGGGCUAAUACCGGAUAGGAGCUCCUGCUGCAUGGUGGGGGUUGGAAAGUUUCGGCGGUUGGGGAUGGACUCGCGGCUUAUCAGCUUGUUGGUGGGGUAGUGGCUUACCAAGGCUUUGACGGGUAGCCGGCCUGAGAGGGUGACCGGCCACAUUAGGACUGAGAUACGGCCCAGACUCCUACGGGAGGCAGCAGUGGGGAAUAUUGCACAAUGGGCGGAAGCCUGAUGCAGCAACGCCGCGUGCGGGAUGACGGCCUUCGGGUUGUAAACCGCUUUCGCCUGUGACGAAGCGUGAGUGACGGUAAUGGGUAAAGAAGCACCGGCUAACUACGUG